rnacentral:misc_RNA from 1 species
UUUCCGUAGGUGAACCUGCGGAAGGAUCAUUGUCGUGACCCUGACCAAAACAGACCGCGCACGCGUCACCCAUCCCGCCGGCGGCGGCACCGCCCGACGUCCGGCCAAGUCCCCGACCACCUCCCCUCCCCGGAGGGGGGGCCGACCACCUCCCCUCCCCGGAGGGGGGGCCGGGGCGACAGAACCCACGGCGCCGAAGGCGUCAAGGAACACUAUGCCUAACUCGGGGGCGCGGCUGGCCUGCCGGCCGCCCCCUGCGUUGCGAUGCUAUCUAAUCCACACGACUCUCGGCAACGGAUAUCUCGGCUCUC